GAUGAACGCUGGCGGCGUGCUUAACACAUGCAAGUCGAACGGAAAGGCCCAAGCUUGCUUGGGUACUCGAGUGGCGAACGGGUGAGUAACACGUGGGUGAUCUGCCCUGCACUUCGGGAUAAGCCUGGGAAACUGGGUCUAAUACCGGAUAGGACCACAUUUUGGAUGGUGUGGUGGAAAGUUUUUCGGUGUGGGAUGAGCUCGCGGCCUAUCAGCUUGUUGGUGGGGUAAUGGCCUACCAAGGCGUCGACGGGUAGCCGGCCUGAGAGGGUGUACGGCCACAUUGGGACUGAGAUACGGCCCAGACUCCUACGGGAGGCAGCAGUGGGGAAUAUUGCACAAUGGGCGCAAGCCUGAUGCAGCGACGCCGCGUGGGGGAUGACGGCCUUCGGGUUGUAAACUCCUUUCGCUAGGGACGAAGCGUUAUGUGACGGUACCUGGAGAAGAAGCACCGGCUAACCACGUG
rnacentral:rRNA from 1 species